AUGAGCAGAGUAAGUGUCAGUCCAAGAGAGAUAGUGCUAACAGACAGCAAGGUCCUCAAGUUCUGGGUUGAGGAUGAGUGCAAAGUCUUUGGGAUCCCUUGCGGUCGUCACAAAAUCAAAGGCAGAGAUGCCAACAUAAACCCUGAAGCAAUUCAGUUCAUAAAGGGUACAGUUGAAAUGAACAAGACGGGGGUUCACAACUUGCGUGCAGCAAAAGAGUUCCUUUUGCGCGACAUCAACGAGAAUUCCAGCCAGCUUGAAAAAGAUUGUUUCCAGAUAGCCUUUGUUAUAUUUUGUCAUGGGCCAUCUGCUUUCUCUGUUAUGUACCAAUUGUUGUCGAACACACGCAGCAGCCUUAUCAAUGCAGCACACUUACAUCGGCAUGACCUACUAUUCUCCGCCUCUGGUUUCCCCUGUAUAAUUCAUUUAAACACACUUGAAGCACCGACGCCCAUGGCUGCUGCUUACCUUCCAAAACAAUAA
rnacentral:rRNA from 1 species